GAGACAGGAACUAUUACUCUACCAACUCUACCAACUAGAAACUGUCAGGGCCGGGCCCUGAGCCAGCACAGCCUGAGUGGAAACCUGUCUGCUGAGCUGCCUCCUCCAUUCUUACUAGACAAGCCCCGCAACUUGGUUUCCUAGCCUGCCAAAGCAAGAUCUCUGACUUCCCAAGAUCGUCACUGCUAGCCUUCUCUGGUGACUCUCAGAGAGCCAAGGAAUUUUUGUUUCUCUUAUAAGAGGCCUGCACGGGCAUGAGGUGAAGAUUUGGACUGUUUUCUGAUGGGUGAAAGUCUCUCUAAUUGUACUGCACAGCAUACAAAUUAUGAACCAAAUAAUCAGAUUUGGCUGGAUUAUAUUUUCUCCUGGGAUAUUAGAUACAUUCCACUGAGUCCACAGAAGGGAAGGUGAAGAUCAAGACACCAUGACAAAUGCUAGUUACCUGUUUUCCAUCAUGCCUGGCUGCCUGAUUCAGGAGCUGGAGGAAAGCGGCCUCUGCUGCUGGGCACAAAUUUCUCAGAGGCCACCAGGCACCAUUCUGGAGUACUACUGGGUCUCAGAGUUCAUUGUCCGUCCCGCAAGGAUUAUCCAUCCUGUCAGACUACGCUGACCAAACUAGUGAGAGGCCAGCCCUAUGAUCUUUCCCCUGGGAAUAAGAAUUUGUCGUGCAAGGUUCACG